AUGUCUGAAAAGCAUAGAAACCUUCCUCCCUGGAUGGUGAAGUCUGACGUUCAAAGAAACAAAGACAAUGAAGCGGUGAAGAAGAAAACGCGUGGUGAAACCACAAAAAGGAUAGCGAAGAAGCAGCUCAAAAGUGUCACGUACUUGAUGAACGAGCAGGAGCUCGUGGAAACGGCACUCCGCCUUUUGAAGGAUGAUGAGGCAUGUGCUAAAGAUGGAAUGCAAGCCCCAGAGGAGCUAAGGAUCAUUCCGGAGACAGAUGAAGACACUUCAGACUCGGACGUGCAGGACAGAACACAUGUUUCAAACAUUGCAGAGCAGGAGACUGUGCCAUAUGGAAACUGCAUGGAAGAAAGUAGCAGCACAAAACCAGCCUGCCAUCUGAAGCCUCCUUCUGAUGUUUCAGGAGCUUCCGAGAAGCAUGAUGCGGAUGAUGAGGCUCUAGAACUUUUACAGCCAAUGCCAGUUUUCAACCUUCAAAAAGGACAACAAAAAUAAUAAUAAUGAUGGCCAAAUAGCUCGGGUUUGGGAUAACAUGAGGGUGAGUAAAUUGUUUUUUGAUGCAUUCUUUCUUUUUACUUUUGUUUCUUUUUAAUAUUGCAAGCUCUGCUUUUCUUCAGGGAAAGAAAAUCUAGUUAUGAUUUGUAUGGGUUUAUUAUUCUGUUGGUUGAUGCCUGAACAAAGGAGAUUUCGGAUUUGUUUUGUAAACCAGCUGAUUCAUUUGCACACUUGCACUUUCUAGAGUCCUUUGAGUAAGACAGCAACAACUAAGAACAAAUGAGAAUGUUCAAUGACAUGUAAGAAUAGAUUGUAUAUUUAUUCAUUUUAAUAAAAAUAUAUAUAUAUAUAUAUUUUUUUUAAAUCAAGAUUUUUAGUGAUUGGUACUUCAACCGGCGUCUAAUGUAAGAGUUAACAGUGUCUGAGGACAAGCUGUCAAAUAUGGAAUCAAGAUUUUA
rnacentral:lncRNA from 1 species